ACCUCUAUGAACCAGGGGACUUGCCUUUGCACGGCGGAGGUCAGGGGUUCGACUCCCCUCGGCUCCA
rnacentral:tRNA from 1 species